rnacentral:rRNA from 1 species
GGGAGCUUGCUCCCUGAUGUUAGCGGCGGACGGGUGAGUAACACGUGGGUAACCUGCCUGUAAGACUGGGAUAACUCCGGGAAACCGGGGCUAAUACCGGAUGGUUGUUUGAACCGCAUGGUUCAAACAUAAAAGGUGGCUUCGGCUACCACUUACAGAUGGACCCGCGGCGCAUUAGCUAGUUGGUGAGGUAAUGGCUCACCAAGGCAACGAUGCGUAGCCGACCUGAGAGGGUGAUCGGCCACACUGGGACUGAGACACGGCCCAGACUCCUACGGGAGGCAGCAGUAGGGAAUCUUCCGCAAUGGACGAAAGUCUGACGGAGCAACGCCGCGUGAGUGAUGAAGGUUUUCGGAUCGUAAAGCUCUGUUGUUAGGGAAGAACAAGUACCGUUCGAAUAGGGCGGUACCUUGACGGUACCUAACCAGAAAGCCACGGCUAACUACGUGCCAGCAGCCGCGGUAAUACGUAGGUGGCAAGCGUUGUCCGGAAUUAUUGGGCGUAAAGGGCUCGCAGGCGGUUUCUUAAGUCUGAUGUGAAAGCCCCCGGCUCAACCGGGGAGGGUCAUUGGAAACUGGGGAACUUGAGUGCAGAAGAGGAGAGUGGAAUUCCACGUGUAGCGGUGAAAUGCGUAGAGAUGUGGAGGAACACCAGUGGCGAAGGCGACUCUCUGGUCUGUAACUGACGC